UACGGAGGGGGCUAGCGUUGUUCGGAAUUACUGGGCGUAAAGCGCGCGUAGGCGGACCUGCAAGUCGGGGGUGAAAGCCCGAGGCUCAACCUCGGAACGGCCUUCGAUACUGCGGGUCUCGAGUCCGGGAGAGGUGAGUGGAAUUCCUAGUGUAGAGGUGAAAUUCGUAGAUAUUAGGAAGAACACCAGUGGCGAAGGCGGCUCACUGGCCCGGUACUGACGCUGAGGCGCGAAAGCGUGGGGGAGCAAACAGG
rnacentral:rRNA from 1 species